rnacentral:lncRNA from 1 species
UUCUAAGCCAGCUUCGGAAAUGGUGUACCUGUUACUCUGUACUGCGACUCUCAUUUUGGAUGUCUCUGUCUGUCCUUACAGAACAGAAUUCUCCUGAGAGCUUUCCAUGGAGACUUCUCAUGGGAGGAGAUGCUUGGGGGUCCCAGUUGUUGCAGUCACGGCGAUUUCAAUAUCCACAAUAUUGUCACUAUACACUGCGUUGACAACGCCUUGGUGACAUCCUCGGUCCCAGCUGCUGCUGACUGACAGACCUAGAGAGGCCCAUCUACUGGGGUUCGAUCUGAAGAAAUCGAUGGCCGAAAAAUCACGCAAGGAUGAGGAUGUAGACAAAGAAGACUCAAUAUCGAAGCAAGGGCAGUAAGUCUCUCUCUGCAUCAGCGGCAGGACAAGCCCACUGCCGCUAGUUUGUGUAGAUGCCUUGGCUGACACCUCUUCCCUG